GCGCUCUCUUUCCCCUUUUUCUCUCCCUCGUGCUCUCCUUUCCUCGCCGCCGCCACUCCAUCCUAGCUGCCUCCUCUCCUCGUCGAACCAGCUGCCUCCUCCCCAUCUUCACGCGCAGCCUCCUCUCCCUCAAGCCCCGCCUCCUUCCCACCCUGGCUUCGCCUCUUCGGGGGGCGGGACGCAGUGGCUGUGGUGAUGGCAGAUGGGGCGACAACGGCGGCGCUCCUCCUCUCCCAUGGCGGUCGGCGGCGCUUUGGCCGUGGAGGCCUGCUCCUCAUGCUCCUCUGAUAUGCCUCUUCGCCCCUGCCGAGGACGGCGGUGAGGGGCAAAGGGACGCUGUCGUUCUCCCCCCUCAGCGCGUGCGUCAGAGACGGACGAGGAAGCCGAGCAGUCCGUCAUGCCGUCGACGCCGUCCUCUCCUACCAAGGUCUGGAUUCUCCUCCCCCUUCCCUCAUGGCGGCGCCUGGAUCCUCCUCCCUCUUCGCUUCCAUGGCGGCACCCGGACCUGCCGCAUCUUCCUCAUCGUCAGUCCAAGGGAGAGGAGUGGCAGCAGCCAGACACGCCUCGUCCGUGUCGCGUGGUGUCCCAGAUGCGUCCGCCCCGUGCUCUGCCGAUGCCUGUCUCACCCGUCUACGGCCGAAGGAGGGGAGGACUGGAUGCCAACCGAUCUGGAGGAAGAAGCGGACACCCGGACGAAAUCGACGGCGAGAUGCUUGGUGACAUCCCUGGAUAGGCUUCGUGGUGGAGGGCGCUUCGUGGUGGAGGGCACGGCCUCCGCUGCCGGGUGCAUUAUGAGGCACUCGAGGGGUAGGGUCGCUUGCAGCGCAGGUGCCCGUCGUGUGUCCCAGCGGGGCACUUGAUGCAGCUGCAGCAGGCCGGCAAGUUUGGCUGAUUUCAACACUCAAGGUAAAUUAUCAUAACCAUGGAAUGACACAUACUGAUCUCAGCCUGGAGAAUGUUCAUGUAAGGGCCAGUACACAAGCAUGUCUACUUUGCCAUAUGGAUGGUGGAUUUAGAGGACAAAUUUAUGCACCAGCUUUGAGUUCCAUGAUGUUGCGCCGACUAUGUGGAACCCAAUGAUUCAUAGUGAUGUAUUUUCUUCUUCGAGAGAGAGGACUGUGCAAUCAGAAGUACAAUAUGUGAUCAUCAAGUGUAAGAGAUGGCAAGAAUAUGUGGGUACAGAUGCGGCGGCGACAACGUCGACUUCGGUGAGAUGGCUGGUGGACCAAGGACCAAUCCUGCAUUUGCUUUAUAAUAUGAAGUAAUGUCGAUGUGUGAUGUUAACAUCAUGGUUAUCUACAGAUGUAUGGGUACGCUCCGUUUAUGGUCGUCUCUAUAACGUGUGGAGUAUCGAGACCUGUUUACGGAGUCCGCCGUGAUGGAAAACGUUAAUAUUCCAACAAAAGUGCUUCCGGAUGCUACGAUGAGAGAGCUUGGCCUUCCAAGCGCAGCUUACUCAACACACAAGGCAAGGACCUCGAGGCAAGUGUUUAAUUCUAUCCAUUGAGUACCAGCUAAAUAAUGAACUUGCAAAGACAUUAAUAUCCAUCUAUGUCUAUGAAACUGGAUGAGUCUGAAGAUUGGCUGGCAGACGAACCUCUUAAAUACAUGGAAGCCUCUUACAACAAAGUGCUGCAAGACAUCAACUAUGAUAAGUUGCAGUUGGUUCAACAAAAAGUAAAUCUCUGGAACACGAGCUGAAAGAAAAAGAUGGAAUCAUAGACUAUCUGAGCAGCAGCUGGUGGAUGAUGUCUAUGGAAGGCAUUUCUGCUUUUGCCAAUUACAACCCGCCGAAACACACCCACCAUGAAGAGCAGCUUAGAUGAUGAGGUCAUUUUCGACACGGCUGGUACAGGCUCUACCUGAUCUAAAUACUGCAUAUCUUAGUUACCAUAAGCUAGGUGACCAAAGCUAUCUAUAUGAUGCAUGUCUGUCUAUCAGCUAAUCUCAUCCCUUUCUUUUGGCCUAUGUUCUUAUUUGACAAAGCUGAAGGAAGCACGUCCAGAUUAGUUCUCUGGAUGGUGAGGUUAGAUUAAUUGACCACUAUUUCUAUUUAACUUCUCCUGUACACAAUAUUCACAAGUUCAUGUAUUAAGUACAUUUUAUUGUGUCACUUGUGUUUACUCCUUUUUUAAUGCAAGUUUACAGCUACUCGGAGUUCCUAAUUGCAGACUCAACUAUCUUGACCUACCGAUGAUCUAAUUUGUGGCAUUAAUUAUUACCUUAAGAAAAUAUUUGCAUUUAAUUUCACUUAUAUAUAGGGGUAUAAGUUCUUACCAAAUGUACUCAAAUAUACAAUUACUGAAAAAAUGCAAAUAUUUUCAACACGAACAUGGUUUUAAACGGGUCUUUGCGCCAUUUGGCGCAACUGGUCAUCUAGUAGAGCAAACCAUCCAGGGUCCCUUCGGUGCAGUAAUCAUCUCUGAAUAGGUGAGUACAGCUUCAGCUUCAGCUGCAUGCUAGGUGUUUGUUGUUUGCUUUAGCAGUGCUUUGGUUGCUGCAAAUCUAGCAAGUUGCCUGACAGCUCCAUAUCUCAUCGUCUGCAUGAUUUCAGCAUCGCAUGUGACAGCCAUUCCUGGUAUCUCCAUUGCAUUUUCCUAUGGGCCAACCAGUUGGUAACCAUCAGGGCCAGAAUGGCAUCAGGUCCAUCUCUAUGGAGCUGUCACUAGUUCAUGUCACUAUUUUUGUUUUCUGGUGGCUUUUGUUCAUGGACUGCAGUAAUGUAAGUUGCAGCGCAGGGCUCACUUUGUUAGUACCUGAAGUUUACUUGUAUUGUCCAUGACAGUGACUUAAUGAUGAGGGCAUCUCAGUACCUCAUGUUGUUCCCAUGAAGGAGGAGGUGAAGCCCAACUUCAGGACUCCUCCAAGUUAGAGGUGUGCCAAAGGGGGUGACCGAACCAUGUACUUGGUCGGUUCUAGUUUUAUCUAUUUUUAUUUCCAAGUCUUGUUAUGGGCCACUUAGGAUUUUUAUUUUGUGUAUUUCGGUGUGGGCCUGUCCAACCGAUUAGUUUUCUAGAUGCCUAUAUAAGGAGGCUAGUGGCUAGGUUUAGAGGGGGUGAAAUUUUUAGAUUGAGUUUUGAACAUUGUGUCCACGUGGUGAAUCAUCCCUCCGGGGACGGCGCUGCUAUUUAUCAAAUAAAGUGAUGAUUGCAUGAA